rnacentral:lncRNA from 1 species
UCGGGGUAAGGAUAAAGUAAUUCUAGUUACUAAAACCAAGUGAAAACCAUCCAAUGCACACAACCAUACAUAUAUAUAUAAGUGCUGGGAAAAGGGACCAGGUUGAGCAUGCCAUUUAAAACCUUAACUUGGGUUGUGUAGCUUAGACGUCCUACCACCCACGGGCCAUAUGGGUUUAGUUCCCCUUGCUAAAAGGUUCCUAAUACGUGUAGCCACACGACCAGGCAAUAACCUUGGGAUGACCAAUACAUCCCAAUAAUUUAAAUGAGACACUAGCAUGUGGCCAUUGAAGACCCCUCAUAUCGGCAAAUAUAAGAUUCGGGUUUUUAUCCCC